rnacentral:rRNA from 1 species
UACGUAGGGUGCAAGCGUUGAUCGGAAUUACUGGGCGUAAAGCGUGCGCAGGCGGCUUUGCAAGACAGAUGUGAAAUCCCCGGGCUUAACCUGGGAACUGCAUUUGUGACUGCAUGGCUGGAGUGCGGCAGAGGGGGAUGGAAUUCCGCGUGUAGCAGUGAAAUGCGUAGAUAUGCGGAGGAACACCGAUGGCGAAGGCAAUCCCCUGGGCCGGCACUGACGCUCAUGCACGAAAGCGUGGGGAGCAAACAGG